UGCGCGCACCAGGGGCGCCUAACGGCUGAGAAGUACCCUUUGAACCUGAACCAGAUAAUGCUGGCGGAGGGAGGGUCGAAGCCACAGAU
rnacentral:ncRNA from 2 species